rnacentral:rRNA from 1 species
UAGGGAAUCUUCGGCAAUGGACGAAAGUCUGACCGAGCAACGCCGCGUGAGUGAAGAAGGUUUUCGGAUCGUAAAACUCUGUUGUUAGAGAAGAACAAGGACGUUAGUAACUGAACGUCCCCUGACGGUAUCUAACCAGAAAGCCACGGCUAACUACGUGCCAGCAGCCGCGGUAAUACGUAGGUGGCAAGCGUUGUCCGGAUUUAUUGGGCGUAAAGCGAGCGCAGGCGGUUUCUUAAGUCUGAUGUGAAAGCCCCCGGCUCAACCGGGGAGGGUCAUUGGAAACUGGGAGACGUGAGUGCAGAAGAGGAGAGUGGAAUUCCAUGUGUAGCGGUGAAAUGCGUAGAUAUAUGGGGGAACACCAGUGGCGAAGGCGGCUCUCUGGUCUGUAACUGACGCUGAGGCUCGAAAGCGUGGGGAGCAAACAGG